rnacentral:rRNA from 1 species
AGAACGAACGCUGGCGGCAGGCUUAACACAUGCAAGUCGAGCGCCCAGCAAUGGGAGCGGCGGACGGGUGCGUAACACGUGGGAACAUGCCUUUCGGUACGGAACAACUGCGGGAAACUGCAGCUAAUGCCGUAUACGCCCUUACGGGGAAAGAUUUAUCGCCGAAAGAUUGGCCCGCGUCUGAUUAGCUAGUUGGUGAGGUAACGGCUCACCAAGGCUUCGAUCAGUAGCUGGUUUGAGAGAACGACCAGCCACACUGGGACUGAGACACGGCCCAGACUCCUACGGGAGGCAGCAGUGGGGAAUCUUGGACAAUGGGCGAAAGCCUGAUCCAGCCAUGCCGCGUGAGUGAUGAAGGCCUUCGGGUUGUAAAACUCUUCUACCUGGGAAGAUAAUGACUGUACCAGGAGAAUAAGCCCGGCUAACUUCGUGCCAGCAGCCGC